rnacentral:tRNA from 1 species
AGGAUUAUAGUUAAUAAUAAUAUUUGAUUUGCAUUCAGAAGGUAUCUUAUAGAUUAAUCUUA